rnacentral:rRNA from 1 species
GGCGGCGUGGAUUAGGCAUGCAAGUCGAGCGCGAUAUUUUUGAAAGAUACUUCGGUUGAUUUCUAAAAUGGAAAGCGGCGAAAGGGAGAGUAACGAGUAGAUACGUACCCAGGGGUCCGGGAUAGCCAUGCGAAAGCGUGUGUAAUACCGGAUAAUGUCUCCGGACCAAAGAUUUAUCGCCCUUGGAGCGGUUUGCUUACUAUUAGCUUGUUGGUGGGGUAAAGGCCUACCAAGGCUUAGAUGGUUAGCGGGUGUGAGAGCAUGACCCGUCUCACUGGGACUGAGACACUGCCCAGACACCUACGGGUGGCUGCAGUCGAGAAUCUUCCGCAAUGGACGAAAGUCUGACGGAGCGACGCCGCGUGCUGGAUGAAGGCCCUCGGGUUGUAAACAGCUGUCGUAGGGGAGGAAAUUUUGACCGAUCCUAGGAGGAAGCGCAGGCUAAGUUCGUGCCAGCAGCCGCGGUAAUACGAACUGUGCAAACGUUAUUCGGAAUCACUGGGCUUAAAGGGUGCGUAGGCGGGUUGGUAGGUCAGAUGUGAAAGCCCACGGCUCAACCGUGGAAUUGCGUUUGAAACCACCAGUCUUGAGGGGAUCAGAGGAGAGCGGAACUGAUGGUGGAGCGGUGAAAUGCGUUGAUAUUAUCAGGAACACCGGUGGCGAAAGCGGCUCUCUGGGAUCUUUCUGACGCUGAGGCACGAAAGCUAGGGGAGCGAACGGGAUUAGAUACCCCGGUAGUCCUAGCUGUAAACGAUCUGCACUAGUCUGUGGAGACUCCCACAUCUUCUCGGACGUAGCGAAAGUGUUAAGUACAGCGCCUGGGGAGUAUGGUCGCAAGGCAA